AAUUCCAUCUAAGGCUAAAUAUUGGCGAGAGACCGAUAGCGAACAAGUACAGUGAUGGAAAGAUGAAAAGCACUUUGAAAAGAGAGUGAAAAAGUNCGUGAAAUUGUUGAAAGGGAAGGGNAUGAGAUCAGACUUGGCUGUCCGGCGAUCAACUCUNCNCAGCGGGGNNNNCACUUGCCGGNAGCUGGGCCAGCAUCAGUUUUGGCGGCAGCACAAUCGCACGGGNACGUGGCUCGGGCCNCUGGGUCUGAGUGUUAUAGCCCGUUGUGGAUACUGCNAGCCGGGACUGAGGACUGCGGUGUAUACCAAGGAUGCUGGNGNAAUGA
rnacentral:rRNA from 1 species